GGUAGCGUGGCCGAGCGGUCUAAGGCGCUGGUUUAAGGCACCAGUCUUUCCCGGGGGCGUGGGUUCGAAUCCCACCGCUGCCA